UCCAAUUUAAACUUUUUGGUCUAAUUAACCCAAAAUUCUUAGAAUUAAAACAAUUAACUUCAAUUCAAUUUGACCAAGUAAGCAUAGCCUACUUUACAUGCACUUUUUUUUCAAAGAAUAAAACAUAUAUAUAACAAUAAGAAAUAUAAGAAAUCGCAAGGCAAUGUUGCUCGAUUAAGUUGAUUUAGUGUAUUAGUUGUCCCGAG
rnacentral:misc_RNA from 1 species